rnacentral:tRNA from 1 species
GGGCCCAUGGUCUAGCGGCUAAAUAUCUUAGAAAGUUCUAGGAUAUUCUGCUAAUGACGACACCCUUACAAGGUGUAAGUCCCCAGUUCGAUUCUGGGUGGGCCCACCA